GCCAGACUCCUACGGGAGGCAGCAGUGGGGAAUAUUGGACAAUGGGGGGAACCCUGAUCCAGCGACGCCGCGUGAGUGAAGAAGUAUUUCGGUAUGUAAAGCUCUAUCAGCAGGGAAGAAAAUGACGGUACCUGACUAAGAAGCCCCGGCUAACUACGUGCCAGCAGCCGCGGUAAUACGUAGGGGGCAAGCGUUAUCCGGAUUUACUGGGUGUAAAGGGAGCGUAGACGGCAUGGCAAGUCAGAUGUGAAGGCCCGGGGCUCAACCCCGGGACUGCAUUUGAAACUGUCAGGCUGGAGUGCAGGAGAGGUAAGUGGAAUUCCUAGUGUAGCGGUGAAAUGCGUAGAUAUUAGGAGGAACACCAGUGGCGAAGGCGGCUUACUGGACUGUAACUGACGUUGAGGCUCGAAAGCGUGGGGAGCAAACAGGAUUAGAUACCCUUGUAAG
rnacentral:rRNA from 1 species